UACGUAGGGUGCUAGCGUUGUUCGGAAUCAUUGGGCGUAAAGCGCGUGUAGGCGGUUAGGUAAGUCGGGGGUGAAAUCCUGGAGCUCAACUCCAGAACUGCCUUCGAUACUGGCGAUCUUGAGUCCGGAAGAGGUGAGUGGAACUCCUAGUGUAGAGGUGGAAUUCGUAGAUAUUAGGAAGAACACCAGUGGCGAAGGCGGCUCACUGGUCCGGUACUGACGCUGAGGUGCGAAAGCGUGGGGAGCAAACAGG
rnacentral:rRNA from 1 species